rnacentral:miRNA from 1 species
UGGUGCAAAAGUAAUUGCGGUUUUUGCCAUUACUUUUAAUGGCAAAAACCGCAAUUACUUUUGCACCAA